rnacentral:rRNA from 2 species
UGGGGAAUAUUGCGCAAUGGGGGGAACCCUGACGCAGCAACGCCGCGUGAAGGAAGAAGGUUUUCGGAUUGUAAACUUCUUUGAUGAGGGACGAAAGAGAUGACGGUACCUCAGGAACAAGCCACGGCUAACUACGUGCCAGCAGCCGCGGUAAUACGUAGGUGGCGAGCGUUGUCCGGAAUUACUGGGUGUAAAGGGCGUGCAGGCGGGGAUGUAAGUCAGAUGUGAAAUACCGCAGCUUAACUGCGGGGCUGCAUCUGAAACUAUAUUUCUUGAGUGCUGGAGAGGAAAGCGGAAUUCCCAGUGUAGCGGUGAAAUGCGUAGAGAUUGGGAGGAACACCAGUGGCGAAGGCGGCUUUCUGGACAGUAACUGACGCUGAGGCGCGAAAGCGUGGGGAGCAAACAGG